GACGAACGCUGGCGGCGUGCCUAAUACAUGCAAGUAGGACGCAGUUGCGAACGGGUGAGUAACGCGUAGGUAACUACCUAUUAGAGGGGGAUAACUAUUGGAAACGAUAGCUAAUACCGCAUACUAGUAGAUGGAUCUGCGUUGUAUUUGCUAGUAGGUUGGGUAAUGGCCUACCUAGGCAAAGAUACAUAGCCGACCUGGGGAGGUGAUCGGCAAAACUGGGAAUGGGGAACGGGCCCGACCCCUACGGGAGGCAGCAGUAGGGGAUCUUCGGCAAUGGGGGGAAACCUGACCGAGCAAAGCCGGGGGAGUGGAGAAGGGUUUCGGAUCGUAAAGCUCUGUUGUUAAGGAAGCGGUACUUAACCAGAAAGGGACGGCUAACUACGUGCCAGCCGCCGCGGUAAUUC
rnacentral:rRNA from 1 species